GCUAUAUCAGCCAACUCACACAACAACAAACACAUUCACACACACAACACCUAAAACACACACACACUUCACGCCAUUUUCAUUUUAGCUUGAGCUCAAGCUUUUGACUUCCGAUUUGAGCACCGAGACGAGCGCCGAUCAUCUUUUCGAUCACGUAUCUAAGUAGGUCCUUUUGGGAAGUAACGACUUGAGGGAGAGAGUGACGUUACUCAUUGAUACAGAGACACAACGAGGUUGAGCUGAUGUGAUGAUGGUGCUGCAAUGAGCGGAGUCUCCAGGGUUGUUAAUAAAUAGUUAACCUGUCUAGAAUAUGUCUUCAUACAUAUGUCUAGCUACUUUCCGCUGCAAGAUGUUGUUGAUGUUAUAGUAUGUUAUGUCAUACUUUGAGUCUUAAGAGAAUGGUUUCAUACGAUGUAUAACUUGAUUAAUGAUAUUAAUUAAGUUUUAUGCUGUCUUUCA